UACAGAGGGGGCAAGCGUUAUUCGGAAUUAUUGGGCGUAAAGGGCGCGUAGGCGGCCUGGCAAGUGGAAGGUGAAAUCCCUCGGCUUAACCGAGGAACUGCCUUCCAGACUGCUUGGCUUGAGACCAGGAGAGGUGAGUGGAAUUCCCAGUGUAGCGGUGAAAUGCGUAGAUAUUGGGAGGAACACCAGUGGCGAAGGCGGCUCACUGGACUGGUACUGACGCUGAGGCGCGAAAGCGUGGGGAGCAAACGGGAUUAGAAACCCCCGUAGUCC
rnacentral:rRNA from 1 species